rnacentral:lncRNA from 1 species
UGUUCUUUCACAUGCUUGCUUUAGUAGAACAUCUUCUCUCCUGUGUCUUCUUCAGUGAAAUGUUUCUUCAUGAGUUUGUCUGAGCCUUUCCCAUCUGUGUCCACUUUAACAAAGUAUGCCUUCACAUGUUUGCUCCAGCAAAACACCAUCCAACCAACUUUCCAAAGAACCCUUAAGUUUCCAUCUCAUGUAACUAUUUUUCAUCCAUAUUUAUACCCCAUACACCCCCAUCAUGCCUUCUUCCCACCUUCAUGUCCUAUCCCCUUUCUUCUUAUUUAUCCUCCUCUCUACCUCCUCCUCCUCCCCCUCCUCUUCCUUCUCCCUCCUCCUCCUCCUCACCUACUGAGUCUAGUGAGUUCUGCCUACUGGAAUACUGAGUUCUUAUUGAGUUGAUCUUGUGCUGGUCUUGUGAAGGUAAGUACAUGCAGUGAAUUCAGGAGUGCAGGAGCAUGUGUUCAGAAAGAAGCACCCUUUCCUCUCCAUCCUCCUGCUCUUACAUUUCUUCUGUCCUCUGAGCCUUGGGUUGGGGGUGUUCCCUGAGGGCAGUCCCUGAUGUACUUCGAGGUCACUUUAAGUACUUUAGUCAGUUCUGAGGCUCUGUAUUAACUACUGCCUAUACAGAAAACACUUCUCUAGCGAGGGCUGAGAACAACACAAGUUUAUGGGCAUAAAUAUAAAUAUUCAUGAGACACUUUUGAUAACAUGUCCAUUUUACCAAAACAACAGUUGUAGAUUCCGUGGUAGGGUCUGUGGCUUUAUCUUCCAAGCCGUGGACUUUUGACAAGUUUAUAGCAACAGGUGAAUUUCUUCCUGUGGGAUCCAGUCAUAAAGUGCUUGGUUACUCCCAUACCAUUCAUCUGCAUUUGCACCAGUGAGAAGAC